CGUCUAUAUACGUAUAGCAUAUCAAUAAGCGGAGGAAAAGAAACUAACUAGGAUUCCCUCAGUAACGGCGAGUGAAGCGGGAAGAGCUCAAAUUUGAAAUCUUCAAGGUUCUACCUUGACGAAUUGUAGUUUAAAGAAGUGUUUUCUGUUGGAGUUUUGGUAAAAGUUCUUUGGAAUAGGACAUCAUAGAGGGUGAGAAUCCCGUAUUUGACCAUUAUUUCCAACUUUGUGAUACACUUUCAAAGAGUCGGAUUGUUUGGGAAUGCAGUCCAAAAUGGGUGGUAAAUUUCAUCUAAAGCUAAAUACUGGCGAGAGACCGAUAGCGAACAAGUACCGUGAGGGAAAGAUGAAAAGAACUUUGAAAAGAGAGUUAAACAGUACGUGAAAUUGUCAAAAGGGAAGCGUUUGACACCAGUGUUGUUUUCUCGAAAAUCAAUUAAAAAUGAGUUGGAUUUUGUGUUGUAUUGACUUUAUCAGCUUUCUGCACUCUUUUCUUAUCUUUUUUAAUGCACUUUUCGUUUAACAAGUCAACAUCCAAUUUCUUUUGUUGUAAAAGAGGUCAUUGGAAGGUGGCUUUCUUUUCGGAGAAAGUGUUUAUAGCCUUUGACUUCUGCAAUCGGAGAGAUUGAGGUCUGCAGCGUAGAUCCUUCGGGGUUAGAUAGCAUUUGUGCUAAGCUAUAGCCUUUCAUAGACAACUUGUUGACUAUGAUCAGUCAUGUAGCUUACUCGCUUAUGCUAUUUUACCUACGCUUAGGAUGUUGACGAUCAGCUGAGCGCG
rnacentral:rRNA from 1 species